GACUAUUUUGCUCAUGAAAAUUAUGUUGAUGUUUACUUGUUAAAUUAUUGUUGAAGGAAUCUAUAUUCCGCUUUUUUGAUUUUUUAAAUAAGUUUCUACAUGCAUUUCCUUUGCACCUGCUAAAUUUCAUGAAAAAAUAUUAUGUAGCAAUUAGUUAAUUCAGUUAAACACUUUUGGUACCUAAUUUCUGUUUUCAAAAAUAGCCGAGGUGGGGCUGAGGGGGAGAGAGUUUUUUUUUCUUUAAAAAUGUUUAUUGCAUAUUGUUUCACUUAGAUUGUUAGUAAUUUAAAAAAUGAAUGAUAUAAAUGAACUGGGUAAUCAAACAGAUACUUUAUCUACAUUGAGAACAUUUGUCCAAUCAACUCAGCCUUCCACUGUUCCAUCUACAUCUGAAACAGUUG